UAAAGCGUGCGCAGGCGGUUUUGUAAGUCUGAUGUGAAAUCCCCGGGCUCAACCUGGGAAUUGCAUUGGAGACUGCAAGGCUAGAAUCUGGCAGAGGGGGGUAGAAUUCCACGUGUAGCAGUGAAAUGCGUAGAUAUGUGGAGGAACACCGAUGGCGAAGGCAGCCCCCUGGGUCAAGAUUGACGCUCAUGCACGAAAGCGUGGGGAGCAAACAGGAUUAGAUACCCGGU
rnacentral:rRNA from 1 species